UACAGAGGGUGCAAGCGUUGUCCGGAAUCAUUGGGCGUAAAGAGCUCGUAGGCGGCUUAGUAAGUCGGAUGUGAAAUCCCCAGGCUCAACCUGGGAACUGCAUCCGAUACUGGAUGGCUUGAAUUCGGGAGAGGGAUGCAGAAUUCCAGGUGUAGCGGUGAAAUGCGUAGAUAUCUGGAGGAAUACCGGUGGCGAAGGCGGCAUCCUGGACCGACAUUGACGCUGAGGAGCGAAAGCCAGGGGAGCAAACGGG
rnacentral:rRNA from 1 species